GGCAGGACAUCACUCGAGGAAAAUUGAGGAUGCAUUUCUGCCACAAAGCACAUGUCGUGAGAGGGACGACGACUCUCAGGGAUCAUGCUUCGUUCGUGUUUUGCUCUUGCCAGAAAACAUGAAACCGCUGCCACCAUGACUGAUGGCCGAAUGAAGAUGACGACGACAUGAAAAGGACGACUAGAUGUGACGCUACGAUGCGGAAAUGACCAAAGGAGAACGGCAAGAUGGCUGACAUGUCAUGGACCGGCGAUUUGGCCCUGACUGGAUUGGUUACCUGUCCGCGCGACAAGUACCGCGGUAAUUUGUUGUUAUUUUUGUGCGUGUUGUCGCGCAUCGAAGGAACAAGAACGAGGAUGAGCAGCGCAGAAACAAACAUGGCGAUGGCUGAGAAGGUGCGUUUAUUCCCGCAUGCACGAAUGCAUAUGCACAUAGGAGAGCGGUGAGCCUCGUGAGCU